UGGGGUGCUCGAGUGGCGAACGGGUAGAGUAACACGUGAGUAACCUGCCCUUGACUUUGGGAUAACUUCAGGAAACUGGGGCUAAUACCGGAUAGGAGCUCCUGCUGCAUGGUGGGGGUUGGAAAGUUUCGGCGGUUGGGGAUGGACUCGCGGCUUAUCAGCUUGUUGGUGGGGUAGUGGCUUACCAAGGCUUUGACGGGUAGCCGGCCUGAGAGGGUGACCGGCCACAUUGGGACUGAGAUACGGCCCAG
rnacentral:rRNA from 1 species